CAAAAUGUAGCUUAACAAAAGCCCCUCGCUUACACCGAAGUGAUAUCUGUUAAACCCGGAUCAUUUUGA
rnacentral:tRNA from 2 species